rnacentral:rRNA from 1 species
UAACGGCGAGUGAAGCGGUAACAGCUCAAAUUUGAAAUCUGCCGCAAGGCCGAGUUGUAAUUUGUAGAAGAUGCUUUGGGUAUGGCCCCGGUCUAAGUUCGUUGGAACACGACGUCAUAGAGGGUGAGAAUCCCGUAUGUGACUGGGUGCUUUUGCCUAUGUAAAGCUCUUUCGACGAGUCGAGUUGUUUGGGAAUGCAGCUCAAAAUGGGUGGUAUAUUUCAUCUAAAGCUAAAUAUUGGCCAGAGACCGAUAGCGCACAAGUAGAGUGAUCGAAAGAUGAAAAGCACUUUGGAAAGAGAGUUAAACAGUACGUGAAAUUGUUGAAAGGGAAGCGCUUGCAACCAGACUUGCACGCUGUUGAUCAUCCAGGCUUCUGUUUGGUGCACUCGGCAGCGUUCAGGCCAGCAUCGGUUUUGGUGGUGGGAUAAAGGCCUUGGGAAUGUAGCUUCUUUCGGGGAGUGUUAUAGCCCUCGGUGCAAUGCCGCCUACCGGGACCGAGGACCGCGCUUCGGCUAGGAUGCUGGCGUAAUGGUUGUAAGCGACCCGUCUUGAAACACGGACCAAGGAGUCUAACAUCUAUGCGAGUGUUUGGGUGUCAAACCCAUACGCGUAAUUAACGUGAACGGAGGUGAGAACCCUUAAGGGUGCAUCAUCGACCGAUCCUGAUGUCUUCGGAUGGAUUUGAGUAAGAGCAUAGCUGUUGGGACCCGAAAGAUGGUGAACUAUGCCUGAAUAGGGUGAAGCCAGAGGAAACUCUGGUGGAGGCUCGCAGCGGUUCUGACGUGCAAAUCGAUCGUCAAAUUUGGGUAUAGGGGCGAAAGACUAAUCGAACCAUCUAGUAGCUGGUUCCUGCCGAAGUU